rnacentral:rRNA from 1 species
CCUGCCCAUCAGAGGGGGAUAACAUUCGGAAACGGAUGCUAAAACCGCAUAGGUCCUUUAACCGCAUGGUUGAAGGAGGAAAAGAGGCGCAAGCUUCUGCUGAUGGAUGGACCCGCGGUGCAUUAGCUAGUUGGUGAGGUAACGGCUCACCAAGGCCGUGAUGCAUAGCCGACCUGAGAGGGUGAUCGGCCACAUUGGGACUGAGACACGGCCCAA